UGCGAUAUUGGAUGAGGGAGGAAUCAUCAUCUGUGCGGCUUCGUGUGGGGAGCGAUGUUAGGAUUGGUGGUUGAUGUCCCGAUCCAAGUACGUUUUCGUAGUAUGAAGCAAACUCAGCCAUGUCUUCAACCAGAAGCCUUUCUUUUCAAGUUCUGUUUGCUGACAUGGACGUUGUUUCACCACGGUAGAUAUGCGGGCUCUGGAACCCUUCCGGAAAUCCGAACAUUUCCAGUAGGUGGUGUCGUCCCCUCGUUUGUCGAAGACGUAUCGGAAGCCAUUCAGGACAGAGUUUUCCGAGCCUUGUUUGUGUCCAGGGAUAAACUGAAGAUUGGUUGCCAUUGUGCCAUAAUGGCAUUGUGGAUUGCGAUAACUGAUCUCAAUACCGCUGUCCGGCUGUCCUAUAUGUACUGAGUACUCAUGUAGGCUGUGUCCUGUGAUAUGAUAAACAGGUUGUUAGUGUACGGCUAGCACGAUCAUGUCCUCAACUAGUCAAUCACGUAUCGAUGGAUCAGAUCUCAAUGGAUCACAUCAGCAUUAGAACAAUGGGAGCAACGUCACAAGAUUACCCGUGAGCUUGUGAAAUACGAAUGUGAACCGAAAUUACAAUAUGAACCGAAAUUCGGACAGAUGUCGCCAAAAACGACUCCUUUCCGACAUCGACAUCUGUCCGAUAUCCCUAAUUCGGCUGUCGGACAGAUGUCGCCAAUCCCAUUGAGGAACGCCUACUAAACCCGGUACCAUCAAAGGAGCUUAUUCCGAUGCAGUUAUCAGCAAAUGAUAUCUCAGAAAGCAUCAAAGAACUGGACCCGUACUCAUCAACUCCUGAUGAAGAUAUUUCUACUAGGAUCCUGACCAAGUGUAGAGAGACAUUGUCUGAGCCUAUAUUUCUACUUUGGCAAGAUUCUCUCCUAGCAUGAAACCGCAGGUUAUUACUCCUGUCUGCAAGAAGGGUGAUCGCAGAGAGGCUGUCAACUAUAGCCCAGUUUCUAUAACUUCCCAUUAUGAAGAUCGUUGAAAGGAACAGAGUCAUCCUUUUAACUGGCAAUUAGUGGGAUGACACAAAGUACAGUGUUCGGACCGAUUCUGUUCAACCUCUACUUCGAUGACCAACUGGAGACAUUUCUCUGUGGGGAGGUCACACAAUGUGAUGGCCCUGUUAAAGCUUACCGUUCCUCAACAUAGGUGACAUAGAGAACUCUCCAAACAAGGUUGGUAGACCACCUAGAGCGGAAUAAAAUCUUGCCCGACAAACAACACGGUUUGAGAAUUGUAGCUGCCAGAGUAUGUUGAUUCGGUUCUCAAAGAACUCAACAGUGGAAAAGAAAUUGAUGUCAUAUAUCUUGAUUAUUGCAAGGCAUUUGAAAAAAAUCCUGCUAGAAAAGACACAGAAGUAUGGAAUAGGUGGCAAAGUCUUCACUUGGAUGAAGAACUGACGGGGCGAGAAAAAAGCAGUCACCGUAGAAGGACACAAGUCCAGACUCGAGGAUGUAGAAAGUGGAGUACCAUAAGGAACCGUCAAUGGUCCUGUAUUAUACUUCAUGAUCUAUGUGAUCGACCGAGCAAUACAAAUCCGAAAUUCUUUACAACUGGCCUUCGUAAACAACACGAAGCUCAUGAAGGCAAUAAUAUCCAUGAUCUGCUGUACACUACUUCAGAUCGACUUUGGUCAUGUGCUCGAGUGGUCCAAAGUUAACAGUAUGGUCCUGCAAGAGAAUAAGCUUGAGGUGAUCAAUUACUGCCUCAACCACGGAUUGCCAGCCGACCUUCGACAAUUAUACGUCACACCAAGUGGCGUUGAAAUAAAGCCAAAGGAUGCUGUUCGUGAACCCCUCACGUUUGUCAGGUCACUGCUGGCGCAAGGAAAAUGGCCAUGUAAAGGCCGAUCACCACUACAAAUGAUCACACUUUUUAAGUCAAUGGUCAGGAGCAAACUGGAAUACUGCUGUCCAGUUUGGGUGACAUACAAGCGAUUGAGAACAUCCAGCAGCAGUUCACCCGAAAGAUAUUACAAGGACUACUGCUCUACUGGGAUCGGCUAAAAAAGCUACGCUUGAUGUCCUCUCAAAGGAGACGUGAGAAAUAUUCAUUGGGGUGCGAGCCUAUGUGCGAACACUGAACCACAAGGCUCAAAAAUCUGUGGCAACCAAAUAUGAAAGCUCAUUUGGAUUCAGGGCACCGCGCCUCUGGAAUCCAACCACCAGGGAACCCUUCACCUCAACUGUAACUCCAACAUGACUCUCAGUACAUCCUGCCAGUUCAACUCCUCCUUCCAUUCAGCUCCGUCAGCAACAUGAGUUUCUCAACCCCAGCCAGAGACGGAAACAGUAACUACCACUUGGUAACUACCAUCUGAUAAAAAGUCUCAGACCUGAACAACCUGUCUGAGUACCUGAAGGAAUACGAGGAGAAGUGGCAGAGUGGCUGCCACAGUGUCACGUGAUAGUUCAUGGAAACAUGCUACAGUGGUCAAGUGAAUUCCUGAUGAACCUCCUCAACACAGUGGUCGUUGAAGGAACAAAGUCAUCCUUCCAACUAGAACUGGUGAUAAGUGGGAUGACUAGGAAAGAAUUGGGCGACGAAAGCGUUCCUUGAGAUCUGGUCCAUCGAUACGUUAUUGACUAUGAGAGGACAGGAUAGUACUAGUCGUACAUUAAUAAGCUUAGACAAGCUGCCCAUCACGGAUCACCACACAGCCUACAGUAUAUCAUAUAUAGGAGAACAGAAUGAAGAUCAGAUAUCACAAUCGUCAGUUUAUUUCUGGAAUUGCGAUUA